rnacentral:rRNA from 1 species
UCGCUACUACCGAUUGAAUGGCUUAGUGAGUUUCGAGGAUCGGCAGCCUCAGGGGCUUGUACCCUGUUGAUGUUGAGAGCAGAUGCAAACUUGAUCAUUUAGAGGAAGUAA